CGCCCACUGCCAUUUUGUUGGCCACCUGCGGUGAGGUCUGGAAGGGGGAGCAGCGGCGGGGUCCGCGGCCGGCACACGCAGCCUCUGGCCCCGAGUGCCCCUUCCUCUGGGGUAGGGUGAUGGGAGUGGAUGACCUAGUGGGCUUUGGGGGCUGCGACGAGCCCUGAGCUCUCCUGGGGCUGCUGUGGUAACAUGUAAGGUGUAGCAUAGCCCAGCGCUGACUGGACCCAGCGGCACAGGCCGCGGGAGCCCUGCUUGGCUCAGCCCAGGGAAUCUGGGGUAGAUACCCCUUAGUGUCAUGGAAAAAAAAAAAAAAACGAAGGUGACUGGAAAUGUUGUAUUGGAAGCUCUGCAGAGUGCAGCAAGCACUUGGAGAUGGUGCCUGUGUACUGCAUGGGGGGAAGAGGGGUGAACCUGGGGUUAUCAAACAGCCUCCGCAUGGAGCAAUGCAGAAAUGGGGCUGUUCCUGCAAGGCUGAUGGGGCAGUUGCAACUCAAGGAGCGCUAGGUGGUUUGCACAUCCAUGGAGGAGCCAUGGGACUUUGCCAGGACUGGAGCACAUGCUGGAGUGUGGGGAAACAUGCAGGCAUCUGCACCUGAACAGACUUGCCUUGCCUGGGGAUGAGGAAGGUGGAAAGCAGAGGACAGAAGCUGAGCACAGAUCCUUAGUAAAGUUGUCAAGGUAAACAUGGGAGAUGUGUUUGGCUAUGGAUGAAGCCCUAACAAUUCUCCAUGAAGGACAGAACCGAGAGAAGGAGACACUGAAGGAACCCCAAAGAGCCAGGAGUCAGUACUGGUAAGAAAACCAUUGGGAGGUAAGAAUCUGGAGAGCACAAGGGUAUUCAGAGCAAUCAAAAAAGGCAGAGAGAGCAAUCACCCCUGAGGAGGUGCUUGAAAAGGGGACAAAAGCCAACAAGAGGGAACUCGGCAAAGCAGAGAGAGACUGUGCACCCUGCUGAUGAAGGUGGGGAAUGCAGAGACCUGCUAGGAGGACAGAUACCCACAGCUUUGUAUUCCUCAAACUGCCCCUCUCUGAC
rnacentral:lncRNA from 1 species